rnacentral:misc_RNA from 1 species
AGUGCUCUUCAAUUAGUCCCGUUAAAUAGACGAUGUAGGCAAGAAGGACGGAUUCUUUCUCCGAAAGUUUUUUUUAUUUUUGUACCCAAAUUUCUUAAAGAAAUAUAAAGGAAUAACGAAAGGAUAUCUUGGAACAACACGUUUUGUUCUAUUCGUAAACAUUUGUUCAUAUAUGUAUAUAUCGAUGUAUAUAUACAUAUGCACAUAGAGAAGAUUCUUUGAAGAAAAAGUUCAUGAUAGUUCCCGGCCUCUGUGCUGCUUCGCUGUAGGAUGCCGAUUCUAUGGUUGAUUGUAGUGGCUAUUGGACUCUGUAACUCUUCUAACAAGUUCAUUAAAAAACCAAGAGACGCAACAAUUGAUGUGGGCGGCAGAAAGAGAUUUGAGUGUCUUAAGGAGGGAGAGGAUGAUUACUUAUGGAAAAUAAAUGACGUGAAGGCUAAUACACUCGGCCUAGAAAAUCUGAUCAUAAGUUCGGGUGCCGACGGAACUUCUUAUGCCGAUAUUUUUAAUGCAACUAUUGAUUUACACCUCGGUAAAUUGGAAUGCCAAGCUGGUAUGAGUGUGGAGAAAGCUAUGGUUGACAUAAGAGUUAAGCCUAAGCACGUCGCAAUUAAACCGAAGAAUUUACAAGAUUGCUACGAUUGGGAUGACCGAAUCAAGUCUUGCCUCAAGGCAAAGAGAAACGGCGGGAGCGGUCCUUAUCAUCUCGUUUGUACAGCGGACGGCGCCCGUCCGAAAGUUUAUUUCAAUUGGUACAAAAACGGUCGUAAAUUGUCCAAUAGAGAGUUUUCAACAAGCCAAGAUAGCUGCUUGACGCCGUUAGAUGCUUCAAAUUUUGUUAAUAAUAAACCCAAACUCUGCAAUUUCAAAUCCGUCUUGUUACAAGAAUUUUCACCAUUGUCGGGUUCAAUUAACUUUACGUGUAGUGCUCGAAUCGACAAUGGUGAGACUAUUGAUGGAAAAUCUUUAAUUAUGGAAUUUUCUGUCCCUCAAGAGAAACCGGUCAUUAAGGACGCAAGUAGCAAACUGAUAGACAGUGUCAUCAGUGCAAGAGAAGGCGAGACGCUUCGUUUAGUGUGCACUGUGGAAGGGGGAAAUUCUCGAAACGCCAGAGUAUAUUGGACAGAAGACGGAAGGGUAAUCACCUCAGACUUUUCAGUCAUUAAAUCUUUAGAAGGCAAAAUAAUUCGUACACGAAAUUUAAGCCUAAAAGUCAAAAAAUCUUUAAAUGGGAAAGAAAUCGCCUGCUUCAACGGUGAUAAUAAGAAGGCGGCUUUCUCUUUGAACGUCCUUUUUAAACCUCCCAAACCAAAAAUUUUCGUGAAUUUUAACUCUCUUUGUAAGAAAAAAGAUUCGGCUAUUGUAGAGUGUUUUUGCGGGCCAAGUAACCCUGCGUUCAAAGUAACGCUUAUGCACAAUGAUCAGAUUGUAAAGGAUUCUUUAUCAGAAAGUGAUCAAGACGCAGAUCCGCACACCUACACAACAUAUCUUCGACAUAGCAUUAAAGUUGUUGGGAAGAUUUCCAUAGUUUCUUGCAGUUGCAAUGGACAACAUUCCGAUACGAAGAACAUCACUCAAUGCUACCCUCCAAAGAAGCCAACGCUAAACGUAAAAUUCCAAAAGAGUAACGAGAUUUAUGAGAAAGGCUCUACGGUCGAUUUAAUAUGCAACUCGGAUGGUGGAUAUCCCAGGCCCUCUAUCACUUGGAAGGAAGACGGCGUUCCUUCCAAAAAGCAAGCAUUUUCAUGCGAAGAAUCAGAAAGAACUGGUAGAACCAAUAAUGAUGUUUGCUCUAAGUUAACUAUUACAUUUAGAAAGGAAGAUAAUGGAAAAACAUAUUCGUGUGUCGGCAAAAACGUUAUGGCAACGGGUAGCGAAAGUGAAUAUGCAGCAUAUAAAACGUUUAAUAUUACUUAUUUUCCGGAUAAUAUCACUUUAACAAGCAAUAAAAUGUCAAAGUUACAUGAAACGACCAGGUUCAUUUGUACUGUUGAAGGUGGGAAUCCUCAUCCGAACGUAACUUUCCGAUUGAAUGAAACCAUAAUAAGGAAAAAUGUUACAACAACGUGGAAAAGAUUGUCAUCAGCGGGUAAACCCUUUUUAACGACAAGUGUAUUGGAUUUAUAUAUGAACAAUGGUUUAAUGUUUCGGACAUUAAAAUGCUUAGCAAAAUAUCAUCCCACAACAUUCCAUCCAACUUAUGAAAUCGUCGAUGAGUUAAGUUUCCGAGUUGAUUCUAAACCGUUUUGGAUUUCGAAACCGAAUGAGAAUUUUACGGCAAUAGAAAAUAAAGCUUUAAGCAUAGUCUUCAGCAUAAAUGGAAGACCGUCUGUCUAUUCUUAUUCUCUACUGAAAAAUGGAAGUAUCGUUCCCAAAAGUCAUUAUCGAGUUAUAUCCAAUCGCUUUUUGAAUUUGUUGAAAUUGAAAAGAUACGAUCACGGAAGUCUAUUCACAUUUAUUGUGUCAAAUUCACACGGGAAUACCCAGGCAACAUUCCGAAUAACGGUCAAUUAUAAACCCGAAAUAAAAGCCAUAGGAAAAACGAAUAUAGUCUUAAAUGUUACACAAAGCCUUAUCCUCACUUGCCACUCAGAGGGACGACCUACUCCUGGUCAUAAGAACGUGUACUGGAGAAAGAAGAACGGCGUCUUGGAUACACGUCGUUUCACGCAACAGGUCUUUAAUCAAGGCAGUAUUGUUGUCAAUCAAUUGAAUUUGACGUCCGCAUUGAGACAAGACGACGGCCAAUACCAGUGCCAUAGCUAUAAUACGGCUGGAGUGUCUAAGCCUCAAAACUUUUCUAUUUCUGUUAAUUAUCCGCCUAUUAUACAAUCGUCCGACAAGAAGUUCGCGGCAGACUAUACCAAAUCGACGACUUUGAUCUGUAAAGCUAUCGGACGUCCAUCUGUUAAAUACAACUGGUUUAAGUUACCCGAACGUACACCGAUUAAAAUAUCUGGUAAAUUCUCCUUGAAAAAUUCAGGAAAUUUGAAGAUAGAUAAGUUAUCGAGAGAAGAUUAUGGUUUUUAUCUAUGCCAGGCUAGCAACCUCCUAGGAAAUGAUACGAAAACCGUUGAGCUUGCCCUAGUGGGCCCCCCUGAUAAGCCAUUUAACCUCUCUUUCUCUGAACUUACCCCGAGAAGUUUGACCGUUUCAUGGUCGGCUGGAUUCAAUGGGGGAUUAGAACAGACCUUUGAAGUGAAAUACGCUGUCUUCGAAGAAAAAGAAAAGAUUGAAGCUAUUAAAAUAGUAGGAAAGAGCACCAAGUGUGCACUUGAAAAUUUAAAACCUGGCAGAAAAUACUCUAUUAGUGUACGAUCGCGAAAUGCAAAGGGUUCUAGUGGGUUUACUUCUCCAAAAAAAGUAACAUUAGCUGACAUUGAUUGGGAGGAGUUAGCACCCGGUCAGCGUAACGAUGAUACUCCGCUAACUAUCAUAUUGAUUAUAUGUGUAGCGACGGCCGUAUUAAUUGGCUGUAAUGUGGUGCUUAUCUUUUUUUGCGUUCGUCGAAGAAAAAAGAAUUCUUUAACAAGCCGUAGCGAAAGCUCAGGGUCGUCAAAUGCAGAUCAUUCGCCCGUCAUUGUAAAGCCUCUACCUGAUAUUACGUCGUCUUAUAGUAAAGUACCGGAUGUCUAUCCUACAAAUGAAGACGCCUAUGAAGUAAGAUCAAACCGAUAAAACUACCAGAUUUUUAUGACUUAAGAUUACUCUACUUUAAUAGUCGUACACAUAUUUAUGCAUACAUAUAUACAUACAUACAUACAUACAUACAUACAUUCAUACGUAUAUACGUAUGUAUACUGUAUAUAUAAAUAUAAAUACGUAUAAUACUUAAAACAGUACGAUGACGAUGUUGAUCCCAAUUUCUACCAACAAGACGAACAAGUUUAUCCGGAUAUCGUUAAUUCUCAAAAUGGUGAUGAUGGCAAUUAUUAUCCUUCUUAUGUCUGUAAGUUUCCAUUGCCUAAUUAAUUUGCUAUACUUUAUAUGAUAAUUUUUUCUCUCCCAAGAUUACCCUAAUGGGGUCGACGUUUAUGACUUGCAUAGUGUUAAGCAGGACAGUCAAUCUUCUAGCCAAAGUAAUUUAGCCGCUGUUAACCUUAAAACUUUCCAAUUUGAUGAUCCACCCGGUGGACAGAUAGAUCAUUAUGUUUAAUUUGAUUAAGUUUGGAUUGUUUGUUUCGUAUCUUGAUUCAUUUUGCAGAAUAUGCAGAAUUAUAUUGUUAUUCCCCAA